CUCCGGGUGAUCCUGCCGGACCCGACUGCUAUCAGAGUGAGAUUAAGCCAUGCGAGUUAACGUAGCAAUACGUGGCGCACGGCUCAGUAACACGUAGUCAACAUGCCCAGAGGACGUGGAUAACCUCGGGAAACUGAGUCUAAACCGCGAUAAGUGAGGAUUUCUGGAAUGGUUCCUGACUAAAAUCUAUAUGGCCUCUGGAUUGGACUGCGGCCGAUCAGGCUGUUGGUGAGGUAAUGGCCCACCAAACCUGUAACCGGUACGGGCUCUGAGAGGAGGAGCCCGGAGAUGGGCACUGAGACAAGGGCCCAGGCCCUAUGGGGCGCAGCAGGCGCGAAACCUCUGCAAUAGGCGAAAGCCUGACAGGGUUACUCUGAGUGACUUUCGCUAAGAAAGUCUUUUGGCACCUCUAAAAAGGGUGCAGAAUAAGGGGUGGGCAAGUCUGGUGUCAGCCGCCGCGGUAAUACCAGCACCCCGAGUGGUCGGGACGAUUAUUGGGCCUAAAGCAUCCGUAGCCGGUUCUGCAAGUCCCCCGUUAAAUCCAGCUGCUCAACAGAUGGGCCGCGGAGGAUACUACAGAGCUAGGAGGCAGGAGAGGCAAGCGGUACUCAGUGGGUAGGGGUAAAAUCCGUUGAUCCAUUGAAGACCACCAGUGGCGAAGGCGGCUUGCCAGAAUGCGCUCGACGGUGAGGGAUGAAAGCUGGGGGAGCAAACCGGAUUAGAUACCCGGGUAGUCCCAGCCGUAAACGAUGCAGACUCGGUGAUGGGUUGGCUUCGCGCUAACCCAGUGCCGCAGGGAAGCCGUUAAGUCUGCCGCCUGGGCAGUACGGUCGCAAGACUGAAACUUAAAGGAAUUGGCGGGGGAGCA
rnacentral:rRNA from 1 species